CGGGGUUAGUGUUGAGCGAAAGGGGUGAGUAACACGUGGGCAAUCUGCCCCUCGCUGGGGGACAACCGGGGGAAACCCCGGCUAAUACCCCGUACGCUCUCGGAGUCGCAUGGCUCCGCGAGGAAAGGUAGCUUCGGCCAUCCGGCGAGGGAUGAGCCCGCGGUCCAUUAUCUAGUUGGCGGGGUAAAGGCCCACCAAGGCGACGAUGGAUAGCUGGUCUGAGAGGAUGAUCACCCACACUGGGACUGAGACACGGCCCACACUCCUACGGGAGGCAGCAGUCGGUAUUCUUGCGCAAUGGGCGAAAGCCUGACGCACCAACACCGUGUGUGUGAGGAAGGCCUUCGGGUCGUAAAGCAUUGUUGUUGGGGACGAAGGGCGAGGGGUUAAUAGCCCCGAGCUUGACGGUCCUCUUCGAGGACGCUCCCGGCUAAUUACGUGCCAGCAGCCGCUGUAAUACGUAGGGGGCGAGCGUUGUCCGUAAUUAUUGGGCGUAAAGAGCGUGUAGCGGUUCGGUAAGUCUGCCGUGAAAACUCGGGGCUCAACCCCGGGCGUGCGGCGGAUACUGCCGGGCUAGAGGGUGGUAGAAGCGAGUGGAAUUUCCAAGUGUAGCGGUGAAAUGCGCAGAUAUGUCGGAGGAACAACAGUAGCGAAGGCGGCUCGCAUGGGCCACACUGACGCUGAGACGCCGAAAGAUAGGGGAGCGAACAGGGAUUAGAUACCCUGGUAGUCCUAGAUCCGUAAACGAUGGACACUAGGUGUGGGCGGAGUCGAAUCUGUCCGUGCCGAAGCCAACGCGAUAACUGUCCCGCCUGGGGAGUACGGCCGCAAGGCUAAAGCUCAAAAGAAUUGACGGGGGCCCGCACAAGCAGCGGAGCAUGUUCUUUAAUUCGAUGCAACGCGAAGAACCUUACCUGCCCUUGACAUGGCGCUGCAAGCGCACGGAAACGUGUGACCUUCGAGGGUGCGCCACAGAUGCUGCAUGGCUGUCGUCAGCUCGUGUCGUGAGAUGUUGGGUUAAGUCCCGCAACGAGCGCAACCCCUGUGAUGUGUUGCCAGCAUUAAGUUGGGGACUCACAUCAGACUGCCGGUGACAAACCGGAGGAAGGUGGGGAUGACGUCAAGUCAUCAUGGCUCUUACGCCCAGGGCUAGAAACGUGCUACAAUGGCUCGUACAAAGGGUUGCGAAGUCGCGAGACGGAGCGAAUCCCACCAAAGCGAGUCUAAGUUCGGAUCGCAGUCUGCAACCCGACUGCGUGAAGGCGGAGUUGCUAGUAAUCGCGUUCGGGUGCCGCGGUGAAUACGUUCCCGGGCCUUGCACACACCGCCCGUCAC
rnacentral:rRNA from 1 species